rnacentral:rRNA from 1 species
CGGUAGCACAGAGAGCUUGCUCUCGGGUGACGAGUGGCGGACGGGUGAGUAAUGUCUGGGAAACUGCCUGAUGGAGGGGGAUAACUACUGGAAACGGUAGCUAAUACCGCAUAACGUCGCAAGACCAAAGAGGGGGACCUUCGGGCCUCUUGCCAUCGGAUGUGCCCAGAUGGGAUUAGCUAGUAGGUGGGGUAAUGGCUCACCUAGGCGACGAUCCCUAGCUGGUCUGAGAGGAUGACCAGCCACACUGGAACUGAGACACGGUCCAGACUCCUACGGGAGGCAGCAGUGGGGAAUAUUGCACAAUGGGCGCAAGCCUGAUGCAGCCAUGCCGCGUGUAUGAAGAAGGCCUUCGGGUUGUAAAGUACUUUCAGCGAGGAGGAAGGCAUUGCGGUUAAUAACCGCAGUGAUUGACGUUACUCGCAGAAGAAGCACCGGCUAACUCCGUGCCAGC